GUGCUCACUUCGGCAGCACUUAUACUAAAACUGGAACGAUAUAGAGAAGAUUAGCAUGGCCCCUGCACAAGGAUGACACACAAAUCCGUGAAGUGUUCCAUAUUUUC
ensembl:snRNA U6 U6 spliceosomal RNA